UACGAGGGGGGCGAGCGUUGUUCGGAAUUACUGGGCGUAAAGGGCUCGUAGGCGGCCAACUAAGUCAGACGUGAAAUCCCUCAGCUUAACUGGGGAACUGCGUCUGAUACUGGAUGGCUUGGAUUCGGGAGAGGAAUGCGGAAUUCCAGGUGUAGCGGUGAAAUGCGUAGAUAUCUGGAGGAACACCGGUGGCGAAGGCGGCAUUCUGGACCGAUAUUGACGCUGAGGAGCGAAAGCCAGGGGAGCAAACGGG
rnacentral:rRNA from 1 species